rnacentral:misc_RNA from 1 species
GGGCUCCUUAACUUUCUCUGCAUUCCUUAACUUUCUCUGCGUAGAUGGAGGAGGCCGGUGGCGAACAGGGAGAGGAAGACGAAGACGAGGAAUACCGACUCCAGUUCAAUGAGGAGGUGGUUCCCCUUGACCUCGUACAGGAGACCCCCACAUCAUCGAGCUCUACCACCAAUUCGAACGCCUCGAGUACGAGGCCCUCGCAGAUGAUCCAUC